rnacentral:lncRNA from 1 species
GGGAAGGUGGCCUUCAGAGAGGGACUGUGGUCAAACCCUGCCUUGGAAUUAGGCUGCAGUGGACUUGUAAAAUUGAUUAUAUACUGAAAAUCAAGGGAAGUACAUCAAGGCAAUAGACUUGAUAAAAGUACAUGGAAGGAAUGAAGAGUCUCAAGAAAACACUGUAUCUGCAAAUACAAGGAUGCUCCUUGGCUGAAAAACAGUGCCUAUUUAUGAGAAGAGGAAGUUUCAGAGACUUUUUGGAUGACUAAGACUCGAGAAACCUCUGGACUGUGUGGCUCCCUGAGUUGCUCCACAUGAAACAUCUACAGAUAUGGUAUUCAGAGGGUGGCAGCACAGAGGACACAUGGAAAAGACAGAUUUUGGCCCGAAAUAAGGAAGUGAUGUCAUCUGGGGAAAAGCAACCUUACCAGCUGCUGCAUGGUAUUUGUCCAAGAAGAUUAAAGGGUUACAAUACAAUGUCUUCCCACCUAGUGGGUGGGUGCUGGCCUGAGGUUCAGCUAACUGAACAAGAUACACAAAGCAAAACUUCCAGACAUGGGAAAUUGCUGGCUAUGCUGGAUAUCUGUGAGAAGCUGAGUGCCAUGAGCACUGGCUGGACUUCACAGUUUGCUAAAGAGAAGGUAUAUGAGACAGCCGGACUUGACAAAUGA